rnacentral:rRNA from 1 species
AGUGAACGCUGGCGGCAGGCCUAACACAUGCAAGUCGAGCGGAAGCACGGAGAGAGCUCGCUCUUACAGGUGGCGACGGGCGGGUGAGUGAGAAGUAGAUCGCCAUCUUCUUAGUCGUGGGGGAUAACGUGGGGACACUUACGCUAAUAGCGCAUACGACGAACGGGUGGGAUCAGCGGAGCUUCGGAGAUUGGGUGAGCCUAUGAGCCGGUGUCGGAUUAGCUAGGUGGGGGGGUAAGGGCCUACCAAGGCGACGAUCCGUAGCUGGGCUGAGAGGAUGAUCAGCCACACUGGAACUGAGACACGGUCCAGACUCCUACGGGAGGCAGCAGUGGGGAAUAUUGGACAAUGGGCGAAAGCCUGAUCCAGCCAUGCCGCGUGUGUGAAGAAGGUCUUCGGAUUGUAAAGCUCUUUUAUUGGGGAAGAACAGCAGUAUGUUAAUACCUCGCUGUUUUGACGGUACCCAAAGAAUAAGCACCGGCUAACUUCGUG